rnacentral:rRNA from 1 species
GUCCACGCCGUAAACGAUGAAUUCCAGUCGUCGGGUAGCAUGCUAUUCGGUGACACACCUAACGGAUUAAGCAUUCCGCCUGGGGAGUACGGUCGCAAGAUUAAAACUCAAAGGAAUUGACGGGGCCCGCACAAGCGGUGGAGCAUGUGGUUUAAUUCGAAGCAACGCGCAGAACCUUACCAACCCUUGACAUGGAUAUCGCGGCUCUGGAGACAGAGCUUUCAGUUCGGCUGGAUAUCACACAGGUGCUGCAUGGCUGUCGU